AAGCAAAAAGCAAAUCAGAAAAUAUAAGUUAUAUAAGGUUUAGGCAGGAAAAUUGGAUUAGGAUUAAUAUAAUUAGGAAGAAUAAAUAAUAUAUAUAAUUAUAAUUUUAGUUUAAAACUGUUGAGGAAUAAGAUAAUAAUUUUAUAAAUAACUGGGUCUACUGUAUGUAAUAAAUAAGGUACAGAUAUAGGGAAAGGAAUACUAAGUGAUGAUAAAGAACUAUAUAGAAGUGAAUGAUCAAAAAGGGGACAUGAAAGAAUAAUGUGAUUUAAAUCGCCAAUGUCCGCACCGCAUUCACACUUAUUGCUAUCCAGCACUCCGAUCGUCGCUAGAUGUGCCGGACUACAUGUGUGGCCUAAUCUCAUCCGUAUCAAACUGGAAGUCUCAUGGCGUUUAAAAUUAUAUUUGUAGAACCAUGGUUUGGAAGGAAUGGUUGGUUGUACCCUUCGGUAAUAUUUCGCUUUAUCGCCAUUAUACCACUGUGCACUCCAAGCAUUAUUCAAAUAUGUUUUAGGGAGGCUAACUAAAUCAUGACUAUAAUUUUUGAAACUAUAAAUAUCACCACAAUUGAUAGCCUCGUUUGCAAUUCUAUCAACUAUUUCAUUUCCUUUAAUUCCGCAAUGGCUAGGUAUCCAUACAAAUGAUACUGUAAGAUUUUGAUCCAUACAUCUCAUUAACAAUUUUCUGCAGUCUAAGAGAAUAUGGUAAAUAGGUUGAGAUUUAAAAGGAAAUUUUGCAAGAGCCUGUAAAGCACUCUUUGAAUCGGGAUUUGAAAACGAAUUUAUCAGAUAAAUAUUGACGUCUCAAAUGAAGAGGAGGAUCAACACAUUCUACCUGUAAUGCUGUAACAGGACUAGAUUUCAUGGCUCCAGUGAUAAUUCGGAGCGCUUUAGACUGUAUAGAGUCUAGUUUUUUGAAAGCAUUCACAUCCCCUGGUUGAAGUAAAAAAGUACCAUAAUCUAAAACUGAUCUUACUAUGGCAUUAUAUAAAAGUUUUAAAUUGAAUGGGUGGGCACCCCACCAUACACCGGCAAGAGAACGCAAGAUAUUCAUAUUACUCAAACACUUGUUUGUAAUAUGAGAGAGCUAUGGGUCUGUAUGACAAUACAUCUGAUGAAGAUUUACCCGGUUUGAGAAUGGGUAAAAUAAUUUGUUUUUUCCAUGACUCUGGGAUAACACAUGUAAUGAACAUAGAAUUUAUAAGGUUGAGGUAAUAUGUGAGACUAGAAUCACUCAAAUGGGCAAAGAAAGAAUAAGGAAUCUUAUCAUCACCUGGAGCAGAGUCCUUAAGAUUCGAGAUUACCCCCUUCAGUUCAUUAAAUGAAAAAGGUAAAUCAAAAUCUGAAACUGGAUCUGAACAUGAGAAAGGAAGGACAGACGGAAUAAGAACUAAACAUUCUUCUGGAACAUAAGGGGGAGCUAAUUUAUCAAGAAACUUGUCAGCCAGAUCAUAAGG